rnacentral:misc_RNA from 1 species
AAAAAGAGGGGAGAAAAGUCCCGUGGUCGGCGUGCCGCUUGAAUUAGCGGUGCCUGUUAUCCAUCUAAUCGGGGGCAACCCUUUGUUCACGAGCACCCUAUGUUUCCUCGGCAGGCCUACCUGCCAAUGGGGACCCGAAUCAAACCCUUUUGAAGUAGCAGUCUUUGUCUGAAUCAAACCCUUUUA